rnacentral:tRNA from 1 species
UCCCUGGUGAUCCAGUGGCUAGGACUCUGUGCUUCUGAUGCAGGGGAUCUGGGUUUGAUCCCUGGUCAGGGAA